GAUGAACGCUGGCGGCGUGCCUAAUACAUGCAAGUCGAGCGAACGGAUGAGAAGCUUGCUUCUCUGAUGUUAGCGGCGGACGGGUGAGUAACACGUGGAUAACCUACCUAUAAGACUGGGAUAACUUCGGGAAACCGGAGCUAAUACCGGAUGAUAUUUUGAACCGCAUGGUUCAAAAGUGAAAGACGGUCUUGCUGUCACUUAUAGAUGGAUCCGCGCUGCAUUAGCUAGUUGGUAAGGUAAUGGCUUACCAAGGCAACGAUGCAUAGCCGACCUGAGAGGGUGAUCGGCCACACUGGAACUGAGACACGGUCCAGACUCCUACGGGAGGCAGCAGUAGGGAAUCUUCCGCAAUGGGCGAAAGCCUGACGGAGCAACGCCGCGUGAGUGAUGAAGGUCUUCGGAUCGUAAAACUCUGUUAUUAGGGAAGAACAUAUGUGUAAGUAACUGUGCACAUCUUGACGGUACCUAAUCAGAAAGCCACGGCUAACUACGUG
rnacentral:rRNA from 1 species